UACGUAGGGUGCGAGCGUUGUCCGGAAUUAUUGGGCGUAAAGGGCUCGUAGGCGGUUUGUCGCGUCGGGGAGUGAAAACUCGGAGCUUAACUCCGAGCCUGCUUCCGAUACGGGCAGACUAGAGGUAUGCAGGGGAGAACGGAAUUCCCGGUGUAGUGGUGAAAUGCGUAGAUAUCGGGAGGAACACCAGUGGCGAAGGCGACUACCUGGCCUGUUCUUGACGCUGAGGCGCGAAAGCUAGGGGGAGCAAACAGG
rnacentral:rRNA from 1 species